AAGAGAGGCAGGUUGCACUAGGGAUUGCUAACCCCCAAGUUCCACGGUUCAAGCCCGUGGCUCACUUA
rnacentral:tRNA from 1 species